GGGCCCGUAGUCAAAUGGGAAGACAGCCGGCUUCAAGGUAAUCUGGAUUGCUCUGCGUUGAGCACCCCGUUCGAAUCGGGGCACCUUGUUCCUAAACUUGAGUCAACCGGCAGGUAGGGGUUCGAAUCCCCUCGGGUCCA
rnacentral:tRNA from 1 species